GCCAGAGCCAUAUCCCCCUGCAGCUCUCGAAUGGUGUCCCACUGAAGCUAGGCAGGGUUGAGUCUGGCCAGUAACUGGAUGGGAAACCUGCUGGGGAAAACUAAGGUUGCUGCUGGAA
ensembl:rRNA 5S_rRNA 5S ribosomal RNA